GGGGUCGUACUGGUUUUGACAGCAUUGGUGUCGGUAAGUGUAAGCAUGCCGUGCGUUGCGUAAUUAGCACGUAAAUCUGAAUACGCGAACUACAAAUGGCAAUACACAGUAUGCCAUGGCUGCCUAAUCAGUGAUUAAGUAGUCAUUAGGGCCGCCGGGCAGGUUCGCCACUUACCACGCCCCGCCGCCGACUCAAACCAAACAGUGGCUGCUGCAGUACAAGGCUGUGCGUACUGCUUAAGCACAUCCAGCUAAGGUGUCUGUUGGUUUGCUCCGGUCCUGCAGAUGCCCGACAAACAAUCCUGAGAUAAGCAUGUAGAAAGCUUAUUGUUACUAUGUUUGGACAGGGGUUCGACUCCCCUCGGCUCCACCU
rnacentral:tmRNA from 1 species